rnacentral:rRNA from 1 species
UACGGAGGGUGCGAGCGUUAUCCGGAUUCACUGGGUUUAAAGGGUGCGUAGGCUGGCCGUUAAGUCAGGGGUGAAAUUCCGGGGCUCAACCCCGGGACUGCCUUUGAUACUAUCGGCCUUGAAUCGCGUCGAGGUCGGCGGAAUAUAACAUGUAGCGGUGAAAUGCUUAGAUAUGUUGUGGAACACCGAUUGCGAAGGCAGCCGGCUAGGCGCGCAUUGACGCUGAUGCACGAAAGCGUGGGUAGCGAAC